GAUGAACGCUGGCGGCGUGCCUAAUACAUGCAAGUCGAGCGAAUGGACGAGAAGCUUGCUUCUCUGAUGUUAGCGGCGGACGGGUGAGUAACACGUGGAUAACCUACCUAUAAGACUGGGAUAACUUCGGGAAACCGGAGCUAAUACCGGAUGAUAUUUUGAACCGCAUGGUUCAAAAGUGAAAGACGGUCUUGCUGUCACUUAUAGAUGGAUCCGCGCUGCAUUAGCUAGUUGGUAAGGUAACGGCUUACCAAGGCAACGAUGCAUAGCCGACCUGAGAGGGUGAUCGGCCACACUGGACCUGAGACACGGUCCAGACUCCUACGGGAGGCAGCAGUAGGGAAUCUUCCGCAAUGGGCGAAAGCCUGACGGAGCAACGCCGCGUGAGUGAUGAAGGUCUUCGGAUCGUAAAACUCUGUUAUUAGGGAAGAACAUAUGUGUAAGUAACUGUGCACAUCUUGACGGUACCUAAUCAGAAAGCCACGGCUAACUACGU
rnacentral:rRNA from 1 species